rnacentral:lncRNA from 1 species
UGAUCCUGAGUAGUAGGUGGUGGCUCAAUGUCUAGGGCUCUGAUACGUAAUGGGAUGGGGAUUACUUGUUAUUUUCAUUCCUUAUGUAUGAAAUUUUCGAACAUGCUGAUUUAGCCCUUUUAUUGUUAAUUGAACAAUGUUGAUGAUUAUUAUGUUGAGGCCUUUUGUGACAGGAUUUAAUAUGGAUGUUGAAGUUUAAUGUUUGAAAAAUAUUUCCG